UUUUUUUUUUUUUUUUUUUUUAGAUAUGGGGGAACUUAGGUGCCAUAAAAGAUUAUAAACCCAGGCUUCCUUUCUAAACAUUUGGAAUAUCUUUCCGAAACGUCCUGCAGUGCACCUCCAUCAUUUUGUUGGGGUCAAGCAAAUGUUAUCAUAGGACACUCUAAAUAUCUUAAUUGUCAGAGAUCUUUAACAUCACUUGUGUUGCCUGGGAGAGCUUGCCGGGAGCCCGCUGGUCACAAUGGGAGCCUAACUCAUGGCAGUGGCCGUGCGGGUGCCACUCCCACAGGUGCCGGGAGGGACGGGAGCCACCCCACUGCUCAGGGAGACCUUGGGCAAGUCUCCUAACAUGCACAGACCCGGUUUCCUGAGAGGAACGGACGGUGGUUUAGACCAGCUGUGGUUAAGAGGUCACACUUUUCCAGGUUUUAGGGAACAUGUGCACAUCUUGCUGGGCCCCUGCCUGUGUGUUCUCACCAUGAAACAUGUCUCCGUGGUGGUCUUCCCAUGCUUACCUUCCAGACCACAGACCAGUUGUGUGGGGCGUUCUCUGGCCCUGUCACUACAAGUCCCUGUACUCCGCUCAGGAUCUCCACCAGGAGGCUCCCGUUUGAGGAGUCAAGGUGAACGUUGUUGCUGAGCCAAGGAGAUUAACAGAGGUGCCAAAGAAGGUGCAUUUGCAGGGCGUCAGGGGCUGAUGAUGUUGUGCUUGGAGAAGAAAACCAUGCAGUCAGCUGUUUCUCUUGUUCCUGGCCGGCAUCCAGCCUGUGAGAGCUCCACCUGCCGUCCCUGGGGAUGCCAGGUUCCCCUCUGGCUCUUUGUUUCGUUCACCCUCCUGCUGACAAAGACCUGAGGAUCCCGUGUUGAGAGGCACAGAGCACGUAUAUUGCCGUUCAGCACUUCCUGUUUUUGAAUCCAGUGGGGAAGCGUGGAGGAGUGUUCCCAGGGCUCUGCCUCCAGAACCCAAAUCCAGCAGACACAGGGAGACACUCCUCCCUGGGGAGUGUCAGUCACCUGUGGGGGUGACCAUGGCCUGAAGGACACGCUGAGGUGACGUGAUCUGUACACACAGUCGCUUUCCUGUCUUAGUGUCUCUGAGGACCUGCUGUGCACUUGGGUAUACCUGCCAUGUGACUGUUACCACUUACUUCCUUUUGUAAAUCAGAUCAUAAAUUCACUUUGAGAAUUUUUCAUUUAUAAAAGGAACCAGUAGUAA